GUUUUAAUUAGUUCCACAUGGGAGUCUCCUUCAGUGUUGGAUAGUUCUUGCUGUUUCUUGGGGACUGUUGUGCUGUUUGGUUCUUCCCUGCUUCCUUCGUAGGAGGACGGAUGAGUAACGACGAUUCCUCCCCCUCCAUUGACCUUAGCUCACCUUUUUUUCGGUGAGUCGGAGAUGUUCUCAUCGCAGCUUUCCAUGCUGCUUCGUCGCGUCUCGAGCCCACUCCGGUGUGUCAGCGGCCGCAGGCAUGGACAAUUAAAGAGGGAGUUUCUUUAAGGAUUCAAACAUGACGGAAAGUUACUCGAUCUUUCCAAAGGGAGUGGACGUUCUGCAAGAAACCGCCGUUUCCUACUCUGACAAGACUUUUAGAACUGAAGGAAGACAAGAGGGACUUUUCCCAGAAAGUGACGGAUAUGUUUUAUCCAGAAGGACCGAGGCAUGAACUUCCUUCAUAAGUAAAGGUAAGACAGUGAUACAUUUUUUUUUGUUUAUUUGUUUUUUAAUGAAAAUUGCAUUUUGUGGGCGACCGUUUGUAUGUGUAAAAAAUGCAGAAAUGUAACAUGUCAGCUGCUGCCAAUCAAUUUGCAAAUAAUCUGCGCUGAGUGUCACGCCCAUGAAAUCAUGUUCCGUUUUUGUCAUGUUUGGUUAAUUUUUGGAUAAUUGUUUCCCGCUUUUGCACUUCCUUGUUUCUCUCAUUUCCAUAGCAACUCAUUGAUUUUCACAUUGCCCUCAUGUCACGCCCCUGUCCUCAGUUCUCACACCUGCUGGUAAUUAUCACUGCUAUUAUUUAAGCCACAGUUGCCAAGUGUUCAGCCUGGCAACUUCCCCCAUAUACCUCAACUGUCUUAAUGCCAUGCCAUUGCUGGAUGAUCAUUCUGUCCAUGUCACAGUAAGUUUUGUUAUUAAUGCCACAGUGCAAGUGUUUUUGUUUCAUGUUUGUAGUUUGAAGCCUUUAUG